rnacentral:rRNA from 1 species
ACGGGUGCGUAACGCGUAUGCAACCUACCUUUUACUGGAGGAUAGCCUUUAGAAAUGAAGAUUAAUACUCCAUAGUAUUGUAGACUGGCAUCAGUUUAUAAUUAAAGAUUUAUCGGUAAAAGAUGGCUAUGCGUCCUAUUAGUUAGUUGGUAAGGUAACGGCUUACCAAGACAUCGAUAGGUAGGGGUCCUGAGAGGGAGAUCCCCCACACUGGUACUGAGACACGGACCAGACUCC